rnacentral:rRNA from 1 species
CACGUAGGGGACGAGCGUUGUCCGGAUUCAUUGGGCGUAAAGCGCGCGUAGGCGGCCCGGUAAGUCCGUUGUGAAAGUCAAAGGCUCAACCUUUGAACGCCGAUGGAUACGGCCGGGCUAGAGUCCGGAAGAGGAGUGUGGAAUUCCUGGUGUAGCGGUGAAAUGCGCAGAUAUCAGGAAGAACACCUAUGGCGAAGGCAGCACUCUGGGACGGUACUGACGCUGAGACGCGAAAACGUGGGGAGCGAACAGG